rnacentral:rRNA from 1 species
AUUGAACGCUGGCGGCAGGCCUAACACAUGCAAGUCGAGCGGAUGACGGGAGCUUGCUCCUUGAUUCAGCGGCGGACGGGUGAGUAAUGCCUAGGAAUCUGCCUGGUAGUGGGGGACAACGUUUCGAAAGGAACGCUAAUACCGCAUACGUCCUACGGGAGAAAGCAGGGGACCUUCGGGCCUUGCGCUAUCAGAUGAGCCUAGGUCGGAUUAGCUAGUUGGGGGGUAAUGGCACACCAAGGCGACGAUCCGUAACUGGUCUGAGAGGAUGAUCAGUCACACUGGAACUGAGACACGGUCCAGACUCCUACGGGAGGCAGCAGCGGGGAAUAUUGGACAAUGGGCGAAAGCCUGAUCCAGCCAUGCCGCGUGUGUGAAGAAGGUCUUCGGAUUGUAAAGCACUUUAAGUUGGGAGGAAGGGCAGUAAGCUAAUACCUUGCUGUUUUGACGUUACCGACAGAAUAAGCACCGGCUAACUCUGUGCCAGCAGCCGCCGUAA